UACAGAGGGGGCGAGCGUUGUUCGGAAUUACUGGGCGUAAAGGGCGCGUAGGCGGCCUGCUAAGUCGAACGUGAAAUCCCUGGGCUCAACCCAGGAACUGCGUCCGAUACUGGUUGGCUUGAAUCCGGGAGAGGGAUGUGGAAUUCCAGGUGUAGCGGUGAAAUGCGUAGAUAUCUGGAGGAACACCGGUGGCGAAGGCGACAUCCUGGACCGGCAUUGACGCUGAGGCGCGAAAGCCAGGGGAGCAAACGGG
rnacentral:rRNA from 1 species